rnacentral:rRNA from 1 species
GCUGCUUCGCUGACGAGUGGCGGACGGGUGAGUAAUGUCUGGGAAACUGCCUGAUGGAGGGGGAUAACUACUGGAAACGGUAGCUAAUACCGCAUAACGUCGCAAGACCAAAGAGGGGGACCUUCGGGCCUCUUGCCAUCGGAUGUGCCCAGAUGGGAUUAGCUAGUAGGUGGGGUAACGGCUCACCUAGGCGACGAUCCCUAGCUGGUCUGAGAGGAUGACCAGCCACACUGGAACUGAGACACGGUCCAGACUCCUACGGGAGGCAGCAGUGGGGAAUAUUGCACAAUGGGCGCAAGCCUGAUGCAGCCAUGCCGCGUGUAUGAAGAAGGCCUUCGGGUUGUAAAGUACUUUCAGCGGGGAGGAAGGCGAUAAGGUUAAUAACCUUGUCGAUUGACGUUACCCGCAGAAGAAGCACCGGCUAACUCCGUGCCAGCAGCCGCGGUAAUACGGAGGGUGCAAGCGUUAAUCGGAAUUACUGGGCGUAAAGCGCACGCAGGCGGUCUGUCAAGUCGGAUGUGAAAUCCCCGGGCUCAACCUGGGAACUGCAUUCGAAACUGGCAGGCUAGAGUCUUGUAGAGGGGGGUAGAAUUCCAGGUGUAGCGGUGAAAUGCGUAGAGAUCUGGAGGAAUACCGGUGGCGAAGGCGGCCCCCUGGACAAAGACUGACGCUCAGGUGCGAAAGCGUGGGGAGCAACAGGAUUAGAUACCCUGGUAGUCCACGCCGUAAACGAUGUCGACUUGGAGGUUGUGCCCUUGAGGCGUGGCUUCCGGAGCUAACGCGUUAAGUCGACCGCCUGGG